rnacentral:rRNA from 1 species
UACGUAGGGCGCAAGCGUUAUCCGGAAUUAUUGGGCGUAAAGAGCUCGUAGGCGGUUUGUCGCGUCUGCCGUGAAAGUCCGGGGCUCAACUCCGGAUCUGCGGUGGGUACGGGCAGACUAGAGUGAUGUAGGGGAGACUGGAAUUCCUGGUGUAGCGGUGAAAUGCGCAGAUAUCAGGAGGAACACCGGUGGCGAAGGCGGGUCUCUGGGCCGAUACUGACGCUGAGGAGCGAAGGUCAGGGGAGCAAACGGG